rnacentral:lncRNA from 1 species
UUCUCUGAAAAAUAGCAUUAUAAGUUGCGUCUAAAUUAAUAGUAUCUCCAUAUGUAUAUUGUCUCUUUUUUGUAAGAAUCUCCUUCAUGAACUUGGAGUAUGUCAACAUCUGUUCCAAAGCUUCCGUAAAUGGGAUAUUAAUUUGCAACCAUUUGAAAAUAUCCAGAAACCUCGCAUACUGCCUAUCCUUAUCUUUAUUAACAUGAGCUUGAGGAUACAUAAUAUAUUUCAUUGGAUGACUCCUCAUCUUUUCUUUUC